rnacentral:rRNA from 1 species
CCCUUAGAUGUUCUGGGCCGCACGCGCGCUACACUGACGAAGUCAGCGAGCAUGUCCUACGCCGACAGGUGCGGGGAAUCUUGUCAAACUUCGUCGUGAUGGGGAUUGAUUAUUGAAAUUCUUGAUCAUCAACGAGGAAUUCCUAGUAAACGCAGAUCAUCAAUCUGCAUUGAUUACGUCCCUGCCCUUUGUACACACCGCCCGUCGCACCUACCGAUUGGAUGGUCCGGUGAAGCCUCGGGAUUGUGGUUCUUGCCGCUUUAUUGUGGCGUGACCGCGAGAACUUGUCUAAACCUUAUCAUCUAGAGGAAGGUGAAGUCGUAACA